rnacentral:rRNA from 1 species
GGUUGACCUCGGAUCAGGUAGGGAUACCCGCUGAACUUAAGCAUAUCAAUAAGCGGAGGAAAAGAAACCAACCGGGAUUGCCUCAGUAACGGCGAGUGAAGCGGCAAGAGCUCAAAUUUGAAAGCUGGCUCCUUCGGAGUCCGCAUUGUAAUUUGCAGAGGAUGCUUUGGGUGCGGCCCCCGUCUAAGUGCCCUGGAACGGGCCGUCAGAGAGGGUGAGAAUCCCGUCUUGGGCGGGGUGUCCGUGCCCGUGUAAAGCUCCUUCGACGAGUCGAGUUGUUUGGGAAUGCAGCUCUAAAUGGGUGGUAAAUUUCAUCUAAAGCUAAAUACUGGCCGGAGACCGAUAGCGCACAAGUAGAGUGAUCGAAAGAUGAAAAGCACUUUGAAAAGAGAGUUAAACAGCACGUGAAAUUGUUGAAAGGGAAGCGCUUGCGACCAGACUCGCCCGCGGGGUUCAGCCGGCAUUCGUGCCGGUGUACUUCCCCGUGGGCGGGCCAGCGUCGGUUUGGGCGGCCGGUCAAAGGCCCCUGGAAUGUAGUACCCUCCGGGGUACCUUAUAGCCAGGGGUGCAAUGCGGCCAGCCUGGACCGAGGAACGCGCUUCGGCACGGACGCUGGCAUAAUGGUCGUAAACGACC